ensembl:ncRNA K03A1.8 ncRNA
UGUAACUCUGUUCAUGAGCAAACCUGAAGACGUGAAAAAUUAUAGCGCGAUGAAAAAAGAAGCACAAAAUGGAACUGAGUGCGCCUAAGCGCCACCCACUUUUCACGGCUCUAAGAGCAAUGGGUGUAAGUGAGCCGUCGACACAU